UUAUUCAGAGAGGAUGCAUUAAAUUGAUGAAAAGUUAAACAGUAAAGACAUUGUUACAAAAGAUGUUUAAUUUAAAUAAACAUAGUUUUUAACCAUCUUUUCAUCAGAGAAGCAGAACAACUGUUUUCAGAGUUGAUAAUAAAAAGAAAUGUUUCUUCAGCACCAAACUGGAAUAUUAGAAUGACUUUUGUAUAAUUUAUUUUUGUAUAAUGUGACACUGUUUUGCCACCACAUCAGAAAAUUUAAUUUUAAAAUAUAUUAAAAUUUAAAACAUUUAUUUUAGUAUUUAUUGUAGUAAUAUUUCACAAUAUUCAUGUAUUUAUGAUCAAAUAUAUGCAUCCAAAUAUUUGAAAGACAGUGUAUGUUUAAUACAGUUUUUUUUUUUUUUGAUUAUAAUAUAAUAGAAUGUAUGCUAUUACAGCAGAAGUCUUCAAGAAACAUUCAAGUAAGUUAAGUACAGGUAAAUUAUCUUGCUAGCCAAACAAAGCACAAAGUGUAACUCUAAGCAAGUACUCUAACUUUUUGUUUUUACUGUGGCUAUUGAUAUAUAUUUAAUGGUAGAUUUAUUUGGUUCUUUGUUUGUUUGCAGCAUCCAUAUUAAAUUAAUAAUUCAGCUGGAUAACAGGAAAGAAAAAGAUGCAAAGCUAACAUUAAAAAGGCUGCUAAGAGGUGGACACACUGACCGCUAGACCAGCAUGCCCUCUGAGACCUAACAACAUGCAACCUGAUGUUUCUCACUUCCACUAUUUUCUUCAGCUGUUCAUUCACAUACUGUAUCAUGUAUCAUAUGACAAAAUGGGUGUAUAAUGUGUCUGAUGCAAAUACAUUCUAGUCAUGUAAGGAUCUUUGCUGUUAGAGCUAAGGUAUAUAGUUUCAACCUCAGAUGAAAUGCUGAGGGUCUAAUCUGAUUGGCUGGCAUGCAAACAAUCUACAAUUUCAGAGGUCAUACAAGGCUAUUGCAAUCAGUGCUUCAGAGGAAGAAAUAAAAAAUUUUUUUGAGGUUCA
ensembl:lncRNA